rnacentral:lncRNA from 1 species
GAUUCUUCGCAUGAGCAAAGACUGAAGGAGCCCUGGGAAGGAGCUACUUACUGAAUUGCAGGAGUGCUGUAUUCAGGCAACUGACAAGAAGUUAAUGGCAUAUUUCAGUUUCAUUAUAGCUAGGGAGGUAUGUCUGGAUUUUUCAUAUACUCCCUGUCUCCUUUCCCAUUUGGACUAUUUUUGAACCUCAAAUCCAGCGAAAAUUGAUGAUGAGUGCCA